ensembl:lncRNA
AAAUGAUUCAGGAAGCCAAUCCAUCGUUUUGGGGACUCUGAUGAGAGUGAAGAAGAGCCAGAAAAUUCGGCUGGUGUAUCAGUUGGAGCCUCAAGCCCAAACCAAUUACACUGGCAGACUCCACCAUCUCACUGAGUGCCAUGCAGCAGAGUCACUACUCCUCAACCUGGAGGAAACUGUCUAGGAACGGCAGUCCCUCCUCAACUCCCUCCACCUCCCGCACCGGCCCUCAACAUGAGGCGAACAGAGGAGCCCUCUUCAAGCCUGGCCUACAGACCAACAUGGCGAGGGGGAGGAAUGACCGAUACCAUUCCCUGCUCUGUGGCUGAGGUCCACAUCCUUAGCCUGCUGGAGACCAUUAAACAACAACAAGACCAGCUUGUGGCAAAGGUGAACUACCUCAGCAGCAGGCUGAACAGCAACCCGGGGCCAGAUGUUGAGAUGCCGGACAAUAUCCAGUUUCCCCUAGGACAAUUGGAGGCAGUGGAGGCAUUUGAAAUGUUUUUAAAGGAACCGUCAAAUGGCCCAGCUCGACAGAGCGUGGUGCUGUGAGGAAAAACACUGACACGGUCAGCCACGGACGCAGAGGUCACCAAGCAUGCAAUCAGGUGGUUCAACCUGGCAGCGGAUCGGGCAACGAGGAGACGUGUCCCGCCUCAAGCCACACAAACGGAGUAAUAGGAGAAAUAAGCAAUAAACAAUAUUUUUAUUGAAUUAA